rnacentral:rRNA from 1 species
UACGAAGGGUGCAAGCGUUAAUCGGAAUUACUGGGCGUAAAGCGUGCGUAGGCGGUUUGUUAAGUCUGCUGUGAAAUCCCCCGGGCUCAACCUGGGGAAUGGCAGUGGAUACUGGCAAGCUAGAGUGUGUCAGAGGAUGGUGGAAUUCCCGGUGUAGCGGUGAAAUGCGUAGAGAUCGGGAGGAACAUCAGUGGCGAAGGCGGCCAUCUGGGACAACACUGACGCUGAGGCACGAAAGCGUGGGGAGCAAACAGG